rfam:Rattus norvegicus chromosome 7, whole genome shotgun sequence.
GGGGAUUUAGCUCAGUGGUAGAGCGCUUGCCUAGCAAGCACAAGGCCCUGGGUUCGGUCCCCAGUUCCG